rnacentral:rRNA from 1 species
UUAGGAAUCUUGGGCAAUGGGCGAAAGCCUGACCCAGCAACGCCGCGUGGGUGAUGAAGGCCUUCGGGUCGUAAAGCUCUUUUCCCCGGGAAGAUGAUGACGGUACCGGGGGAAUAAGCCCCGGCUAACUACGUGCCAGCAGCCGCGGUAAUACGUAGGGGGCGAGCGUUGUCCGGAUUUAUUGGGCGUAAAAGGCUUGUAGGCGGCCACGCCGCGUCGGCUGUGAAAGCUCCCGGCUUAACUGGGAGAGGGCAGGCGAUACGGGCGGGCUCGAGGCCAGUAGGGGGACGCGGAAUUCCCGGUGUAGUGGUGGAAUGCGUAGAUAUCGGGAGGAACACCAGUGGCGAAGGCGGCGUCCUGGACUGGUACUGACGCUGAGGAGCGAAAGCGUGGGGAGCGAUCCGGAUUAGAUACCCGGGUAGUCC